AUUGAACGCUGGCGGCAGGCCUAACACAUGCAAGUCGAGCGAGCGGCGGACGGGUGAGAAAAGUCUGGGAAACUGCCUGAUGGAGGGGGAUAACUACUGGAAAAGGUAGCUAAUACCGCAUACCAUCAGAUGUGCCCCGAUGGGAUUAGCUAGUAGGUGGGGUAACGGCGCACCUAGGCGACGAGCCCUAGCUGGGCUGAGAGGAUGACCAGCCACACUGGGACUGAGACACGGUCCAGACUCCUACGGGAGGCAGCAGUGGGGAAUAUUGCACAAUGGGCGCAAGCCUGAUGCAGCCAUGCCGCGUGUAUGAAGAAGGCCUUCGGGUUGUAAAGUACUUUCAGCGGGGAGGCGUUACCCGCAGAAGAAGCACCGGCUAACUCCGUGCCAGCAGCCGCGGUAAUUC
rnacentral:rRNA from 1 species